rnacentral:rRNA from 1 species
GUCUGUGGCCAUACCACCCUGAACACACCCGAUCUCGUCUGAUCUUGUGAAGCUAAGCAGGGUUGGGCCUGGUUAGUACUUGAAUGGGAGACCACAUGCAAAUACCGGGUGCUGUAGGUU